rnacentral:pre_miRNA from 1 species
AAACCGUCCCCUAAGUUUUGCAAUUGUAGCAGUUUUGGCCCCCCAAUGUCAAUUUUUGGUAAAAUAAAUAAAAAAAAAAACACGUGGUACCUCACUUAGGGUGCCUUAGGGUGCCACGUCAACGUAGAGCGAGUCAAAAUUGGUUUUGCGGGCCAAAACUGCCACAAAUGCAAAACUUAUGGGACUGUUU